GACGAACGCUGGCGGCGUGCUUAACACAUGCAAGUCGAACGAGAAUCACUGGAAGGAGUUUUCGGACAACGGAAGGUGAGGACAGUGGCGGACGGGUGAGUAACGCGUGAGGAACCUGCCUUUCAGAGGGGACAACAGUUGGAACGACUGCUAAUACCGCAUGACACAUAGAGAUCGCAUGGUUUUAUGUCAAAGAUUUAUCGCUGAAGAUGGCCUCGCGUCUGAUUAGCUAGUUGGUGAGGUAACGGCCCACCAAGGCGACGAUCAGUAGCCGGACUGAGAGGUUGACCGGCCACAUUGGGACUGAGAUACGGCCCAGACUCCUACGGGAGGCAGCAGUGGGGGAAUAUUGGGCAAUGGGCGCAAGCCUGACCCAGCAACGCCGCGUGAAGGAAGAAGGCUUUCGGUUGUAAACUUCUUUAAGAGGAAGAGCAGAAGAACGGUACCUCUAGAAUAAGCCACGGCUAACUACGUG
rnacentral:rRNA from 1 species